GAAUGCUGACAUAAGUAACGAUAAAGCGGGUGAAAAGCCCGCUCGCCGGAAGACCAAGGGUUCCUGUCCAACGUUAAUCGGGGCAGGGUGAGUCGACCCCUAAGGCGAGGCCGAAAGGCGUAGUCGAUGGGAAACGGGUUAAUAUUCCCGUACUUGGUGUUACUGCGAAGGGGGGACGGAGAAGGCUAUGUUGGCCGGGCGACGGUUGUCCCGGUUUAAGCGUGUAGGUGUGUGUUCCAGGUAAAUCCGGUUCACUUUAACACUGAGGCGUGAUGACGAGGCACUACGGUGCUGAAGCAACAAAUGCCCUGCUUCCAGGAAAAGCCUCUAAGCAUCAGGUAACAUCAAAUCGUACCCCAAACCGACACAGGUGGUCAGGUAGAGAAUACCAAGGCGCUUGAGAGAACUCGGGUGAAGGAACUAGGCAAAAUGGUGCCGUAACUUCGGGAGAAGGCACGCUGACAUGUAGGUGAAGUGAUUUACUCAUGGAGCUGAAGUCAGUCGAAGAUACCAGCUGGCUGCAACUGUUUAUUAAAAACACAGCACUGUGCAAACACGAAAGUGGACGUAUACGGUGUGACGCCUGCCCGGUGCCGGAAGGUUAAUUGAUGGGGUCAGCGCAAGCGAAGCUCCUGAUCGAAGCCCCGGUAAACGGCGGCCGUAACUAUAACGGUCCUAAGGUAGCGAAAUUCCUUGUCGGGUAAGUUCCGACCUGCACGAAUGGCGUAAUGAUGGCCAGGCUGUCUCCACCCGAGACUCAGUGAAAUUGAACUCGCUGUGAAGAUGCAGUGUACCCGCGGCAAGACGGAAAGACCCCGUGAACCUUUACUAUAGCUUGACACUGAACAUUGAGCCUUGAUGUGUAGGAUAGGUGGGAGGCUUUGAAGCGUGGACGCCAGUCUGCGUGGAGCCGACCUUGAAAUACCACCCUUUAAUGUUUGAUGUUCUAACGUGGAUCCGUAAUCCGGGUUGCGGACAGUGUCUGGUGGGUAGUUUGACUGGGGCGGUCUCCUCCUAAAGAGUAACGGAGGAGCACGAAGGUUGGCUAAUCCUGGUCGGACAUCAGGAGGUUAGUGCAAUGGCAUAAGCCAGCUUGACUGCGAGCGUGACGGCGCGAGCAGGUGCGAAAGCAGGUCAUAGUGAUCCGGUGGUUCUGAAUGGAAGGGCCAUCGCUCAACGGAUAAAAGGUACUCCGGGGAUAACAGGCUGAUACCGCCCAAGAGUUCAUAUCGACGGCGGUGUUUGGCACCUCGAUGUCGGCUCAUCACAUCCUGGGGCUGAAGUAGGUCCCAAGGGUAUGGCUGUUCGCCAUUUAAAGUGGUACGCGAGCUGGGUUUAGAACGUCGUGAGACAGUUCGGUCCCUAUCUGCCGUGGGCGCUGGAGAACUGAGGGGGGCUGCUCCUAGUACGAGAGGACCGGAGUGGACGCAUCACUGGUGUUCGGGUUGUCAUGCCAAUGGCACUGCCCGGUAGCUAAAUGCGGAAGAGAUAAGUGCUGAAAGCAUCUAAGCACGAAACUUGCCCCGAGAUGAGUUCUCCCUGAGACUUAGAGUCUCCUGAAGGAACGUUGAAGACGACGACGUUGAUAGGCCGGGUGUGUAAGCGCAGCGAUGCGUUGAGCUAACCGGUACUAAUGAACCGUGAGGCUUAACCUUACA
rnacentral:rRNA from 1 species